UACGUAGGGUGCGAGCGUUGUCCGGAAUUACUGGGCGUAAAGAGCUCGUAGGUGGUUUGUCGCGUCGUCUGUGAAAUUCCGGGGCUUAACUCCGGGCGUGCAGGCGAUACGGGCAUAACUUGAGUACUGUAGGGGAGACUGGAAUUCCUGGUGUAGCGGUGAAAUGCGCAGAUAUCAGGAGGAACACCGGUGGCGAAGGCGGGUCUCUGGGCAGUAACUGACGCUGAGGAGCGAAAGCAUGGGGAGCGAACAGGAUUAGAUACCCUGGUAGUCAAGGGCGAAUUCGUU
rnacentral:rRNA from 1 species